UACGAAGGGGGCUAGCGUUGCUCGGAAUGACUGGGCGUAAAGGGCGCGUAGGCGGAUGGCACAGUCAGAUGUGAAAUUCCUGGGCUUAACCUGGGGGCUGCAUUUGAUACGUGUGAUCUGGAGUGAGGAAGAGGGUUGUGGAAUUCCCAGUGUAGAGGUGAAAUUCGUAGAUAUUGGGAAGAACACCGGUGGCGAAGGCGGCGACCUGGUCCUUAACUGACGCUGAGGCGCGAAAGCGUGGGGAGCGAACAGG
rnacentral:rRNA from 1 species